AAACAAUUUACCCAGAACAGAGAGAAGCAGCUGCAGCUGUAAUAUGUCCAAAGGUUGCAGUACUCCUCAAACGUGUGUUGGCCAGUCCAAAUCAAAGUCAUUGAAAAAGCUGGAAGAGUGGAGAGCCUUUUGGCGCUGCUGGCUGGGGAAGAAAAAAUGUUGUCAGGAUACAGAGAGCAGCUGAUUUAUAAAGCACUGAGGCCUGGAUCAGAGGCAGAGAGGGAGAGAACAUAAUUCGGACCAGUCCUGGGCCGAGUUGUGAGUGAGAGGAGGGAGGUGAACUGGCUGAUGUCCUGGUGCAAAUGCAGCACCCUGGAGCUCAACACCCUUAAGACAGUGGAGAUGGUUGUGUACUUCCACUUGCUCCGCACUACCGUCAUCCAGGACCUUAUGGGAGUCAACCAUCAGCUCCCGCAUCAAGAUGGCUCUGCAGAGGGUUGCUUCAUGAGAAGAUGACCCAAUAGAGCUCCUGGACACAGCAGCAGAGGCAGCAGCCCACCCAGAGGAGCCAACAUGCGGAGGGCAGAUGUGGGCACCCACCACACAAAGGUUGGUCUAAAUAAGUCCCAUCUGAUAGCCCUGUACUGUGCCUGGACACGCCCCUCGCUCAUCUUUGUGAGGCUCUUUUUACUAAUCCGCUCAAACUGCUUGACCCUUGACCCUUCGCUCCAUACUUUUUCACAUCCCUUGCCUUUUUCUUUUGUUCUGUUGUAUGUGUGGCAGAUCUCAAGGGAGCAGAUAAAGUAUAAAUCCAUUGCACUUCUGACAUCUCACAGUUUCUGGUUUGCAUUUGGUCCAAUGCCCUGCAAUCAGUCACCCCUCCAUGCUCCUCUCUUCUCUUUUCUUUAGCCCAUUUCAAAAGCCUGUGAAGUUCUCGUGUUGAAAGCUAUAUUAAUAAUCUGUUCCCAUAUAUGUAAUAAUAGCAAUUGUAAUA